rnacentral:rRNA from 1 species
ACGUAGGAUGCGAGCGUUAUCCGGAAUUACUGGGUGUAAAGGGAGCGCAGGCGGGACUGCAAGUUGGAUGUGAAAUACCGCAGCUUAACUGCGGAGCUGCAUCCAAAACUGUAGUUCUUGAGUGGAGUAGAGGCAAGCGGAAUUCCGAGUGUAGCGGUGAAAUGCGUAGAUAUUCGGAGGAACACCAGUGGCGAAGGCGGCUUGCUGGGCUCUAACUGACGCUGAGGCUCGAAAGUGUGGGGAGCAAACAGGAUUAGAUACCCUGGUAGUCCACACUGUAAACGAUGAUAGCUAGGUGUGGGGGGUCUGACCCCUUCCGUGCCGGAGUUAACGCAAUAAGCUAUCCACCUGGGGAGUACGGCCGCAAGGUUG